rnacentral:rRNA from 1 species
UACAGAGGGUGCAAGCGUUAAUCGGAUUUACUGGGCGUAAAGGGCGCGUAGGUGGUUGCGUAAGUGAGAUGUGAAAGCCCCGGGCUUAACCUGGGAACUGCAUCUUAUACUGCGUAGCUGGAGUGAAGUAGAGGGUAGUGGAAUUUCCGGUGUAGCGGUGAAAUGCGUAGAUAUCGGAAGGAACACCAGUGGCGAAGGCGGCUACCUGGACUUACACUGACACUGAGGCGCGAAAGCGUGGGUAGCAAACAGG